rnacentral:lncRNA from 1 species
GUGGACUACGUAGCUUCAAGUUCACCUAUUUUCUAGACAAGAUGCUUUUCUAAACAUAUACCAAACUCCUCAAGCACACCUAGAAGUACAUUCGAGCUGAGAAGGGAGAGACUAACCGACGUUGUUCUGAGGGCAAGGACCCAAAGAAGAAGAUCAAGAAAGAAGGAACCUCCAUGGGAUCCAAUCAAGCCCGCACUGAGAGGGAGGCUCCACCUUCUCGACCAAGCCCAAAGUCUAAGAACUUCAACCUUAGGUACAACUCCUACAUCCCUCUAACUACUC